ensembl:lncRNA
CAACCCAUAGUGGGGAGUCUCUUUUUUUCCAUGGAGAUCACCCUGUGGCUUGAGAAUGAUAUAACUACCAAAAGAUCACCCAGACUUGUCUGCAGCCAAGUGUACUGAUCUUCUGCUCUGGACCAGAAAGAGUCAUUACUAAGGUGCAGCAGUGUCUCAGAUGUUCACAAACAGAUGACGGAGGCCAGCCCCUGUCCUCAAGGCCAUGCAUGACAUUUUCAAAGGAAUCACGCCUUCUCUCAUGGUACAGUGGAUAAGAAUCCACCUACCACUGCAGGGAACAUGGGCCCCAUCCCUGGUCCAGGAAGAUCCCACAUGCCAUGGAGCAGCAAAGCCUGUGUGCCACAACUCCUGAGCACGAGAGCCACGACUCCUGAGUCCGUGUGUGCCGUGAGCCCACAUGCCAAACGAGAGACGCCACUGUCGUGAGAAGGCUGUGCCCCGCAAUGAAGAGCAGGCCCUGCUCGCUGCCGUUAGAGAAAGCCCAUGCACAGCAAUGAAGACUCAAUUCAGGCCAAAGUAAAUGAAAUAAAGGCGAUCACAUUCCCUUAGCCUCUCUCACUUAGAACUCAGUUAGUGAAUAAUAUCUUUGCAGUCCUACCCACCUCUCAUCUAGCCAUCGCACAUUUCAUUUCCUCACCAUACUCAUUCCAGUCAUCCUUCAGAAUCUUAAAACUGUUCCAGGAGAACAAAGACCAUUCCUCCGUUAUUAUUUUGUCUGUAUCCCCUUGGUGUCUGACAUGAAGUGCUUAGUAAGUGCUGGUGAAAGGAGGAAAAGAGGGAAGAGAAGGCAAGGGGGAAGAGAAAGAAUGCGAUCCUCGUUUGUCA